rnacentral:rRNA from 1 species
GACGAACGCUGGCGGCGUGCCUAAUACAUGCAAGUUGAGCGCUGAAGGUUGGUACUUGUACCAACUGGAUGAGCAGCGAACGGGUGAGUAACGCGUGGGGAAUCUGCCUUUGAGCGGGGGACAACAUUUGGAAACGAAUGCUAAUACCGCAUAAAAACUUUAAACACAAGUUUUAAGUUUGAAAGAUGCAAUUGCAUUACUCAAAGAUGAUCCCGCGUUGUAUUAGCUAGUUGGUGAGGUAAAGGCUCACCAAGGCGAUGAUACAUAGCCGACCUGAGAGGGUGAUCGGCCACAUUGGGACGGAGACACGGCCCAAACUCCUACGGGAGGCAGCAGUAGGGAAUCUUCGGCAAUGGACGAAAGUCUGACCGAGCAACGCCGCGUGAGUGAAGAAGGUUGUCGGAUCGUAAAACUCUGUUGGUAGAGAAGAACGUUGGUGAGAGUGGAAAGCUCAUCAAGUGACGGUAACUACCCAGAAAGGGACGGCUAACUACGUG